rnacentral:snRNA from 10 species
GAGUGUUAUAGCUCUAUUAGAAUUCGUGGGUCACGGAAGAGAACCGUGGAACCCAG